GCAGAUAUGGAGUAAUGGUAUCUCACGGCUCUGCUAAAGCCGCUUACCGAAAGGUAAUACAGGUUCGAGUCCUGUUAUCUGCG
rnacentral:tRNA from 1 species